GCAACCUUACAUGAACGGGACUCGUUCUAUUGGUUUGUGCCGCUGAAUCCUUGAGUUGUAAGAGGCAAAGUCAUUGCUUCUGGAAAGCUAUGUUCCAAACAAAGGGCAAAUAGAGCUGCAAUGAAUAACCUAAAUAAAUUAAUUCCCAGAUA
rnacentral:snoRNA from 1 species